AACGAGUAUUCAUUGUGACCAAGUCACAAUGUCUAGCUGAAAUAUUUAAUCAUAUUUUUAAUUUAUUUAACUUAAAAUUUAUGCUGUCCAUCUGAAAUUAGUACAGUACUGUAGUGUCUUGCUCUUGUACUGUACAUCAUACUUUUCCGUUAACAAUAAAGUCCUGCCGGUCAUCUAUCUAACAACUUUCGGGAGAAUAUUUUUGAAUUGAAAUAACUCGACUUUUCAUUCUCUUUUAGACCGGAAGUUUGGAUAUAGUUAAUCGGGGUCUUCUGUCUCUAAAGUUUCCAAAUCUGUCUCGUCUUUCACGUAUCUAACUGUGUUGUCGAUAUUAAGAAAAGGCAGACAGAUGGACAGACGGACUAUACUAAUUUAUAGGUCUACAAGUUCUUCAAAUUGCAUGCAUUAAGAAGGUCUUUUUACAAGCUGAUUAUGGAUCACCCAUUAUAGUUAAUUCCACAAAAAGCCAAUCGGGUGUGAAGAACGAGGUCCAAAUGUCACCUUCAAAGUGCUCUCCAUUAGAUGCGAUGCACUUGUCAAGUCUUUUCCCCCACUGUUUGAAGCAUCUCUAGAACUUUUCAACCUUGAUAUCGUCCAGUGUCCUUAGCGAAGUUGUUUUUACCGCCUCCACAUCAUCAAAACGCUUCCCUUUUAGAUUUUUCUUCAUUCUCGGAAACAGAAAAAAGUCGCACGGGGCUAGGUCUGGUGAAUAUGGAGGGGGAGAACGACAGGCCAUCCCAAGAGGCCAAAUAGUGAGUCACUCGUAAGGCCGUGUGUGCGGGGGCGUUGUCGUGAUGAAGGAACCAGUCACCUGAUCGCCAAAGUUCCGGGCGUUUCCUUCGCAUAUCCUCUCGCAGACGUCUUAACACUUUUUUGGCGGAUUUUUUCAACGUUUUCAUUGUUUCGAGAUGUUGAAGGUCUCUUAGAACUUCGCAGGUGGAACAAAAUAACAGUAAAAGAAACACAACACUACGCUCAAACAUAAACCUACAAACUGACACCGUUUGGACAACUGUUUCAUGAUGGUCUCUAACCCCAUGUAACGGGAGAACUCUCUACUACUACGAAUGGCAGCGCUCUCAGUUCGGUUUUUUUUGGGUCCCCCUCGUAUAGGGACGGACCAUCCCUAAAAA